ACCUGUUCUUGGGAGCCCUUACGGUAGGGGCACUACAUUCAAAAGUGAUGAUCUAUUCUCCAGCGUUGAUUGUAGAGGUAACUAUAGGCGAAGUGGAGAAAAUCAAGGCCAUUCUAACCACGCAAAUAUUGAGAACCUCAGGUAAGAUAUCGUCACAAUUUUAAUUGCGACAGGAAGAUUGCCGACUUGCGUUAUAGACGUACAAAAAAAUUACACAGCCUAAAAUUGCACUCCCCAACACUUAUGCCCCAAAUUGACCAUGAGUGUUGGUGAGUGCAGUGUGGGUACUUUAAGCUAAGGAGAUGUUUCCCAUCGUCUUAAAGUAUACAGAUCCAGAGACAAAGCUGGGUGAUGAAGAACUGGCAUUCUAUAUAACACGUUGUAUAUCUUAUUUCUUUCCAGACGCGUGUCUCCGGUUCGAGCUGCAGACGGCGCUGCAGUACGUGCGCCUGCGUCCGUUCCGAUACACGCUCUGCCGCGCGGUGCCGCUCGACAUCAACCUGCUGUUCACCUCCACAGCAUUUUGUAUUACUUAUGUCAUCGUAGCUUUGCAGUUAAAUCAUUUUGCUGAAUAAUGCACAUGUUGAAAAAAAUGUUUGUGUGAAAAUGGUCUAUAAUUUGAAAAAUAAAAUCAGUAUCAAAAGUACGUAUCAGUAAAUAAGCCCUAGUAAAUAUACAGGGUAUACCUGUAAACUUCAAAGUGAUGAUCGAAACGACUACGGUAAUCUCAGUCGCAGCAGUUCAAACUGCCCAUUUUUAUUUAUUUUUAUACAGUUGCUCUAAUCAUCACGCAUUCCGGUUGCAUAUUUUUUCUUCUAUCCAAAAUUAGAUAUAAAGUGACUUCCUAGAAUGAUAAUACAGAAGACCAAAAUAAAUAGAACCUUCUGGAAAACGUACUUAAUCAACAUGCUGCAUCAGUAUAAUUAUUUUAUGUUUACAAAAAUAACUGUAAAAUUUUCCGUCCAUCGAUAAUAAUGGAUAGUAGCCAGUACACAACUGUACGCGAAGUAACCAACCAACAUGAAUCUGAAGCUCUUAUUUCAAUUCAAAUCUCCAACAUUAUGUCUUAUACAAAUUAUUGCGCUUCUGCGAUUGUUACUUGGAAAUUAUACUACUGUCGGUCAAUCAAAACUCACUCGAUUCUUGACAAAAUUCUAUUGCGUUUGUGUGUGUUCCUCUAUUGUCAGCAUGUACGUCAUUUCAUUGUCCAAAAGAGUGCCUCUCCCGGUUUUCAGUUUCAUCAUCAUCGAUUACACGUGCGCUGUCAUUAUUUGCUUGAUUUUCAGCCGAGAUCGUUACCCUGCCUUCCUCGCUGCCAACAUGACUAAUGACCGCAUCAUAGGCUUCAAACAAAAUUUAUCAUUAACCAAUUAUGCCAUCUUUAGCAUAUUUGGAAGUGCUUUUGUAAGGAUUUGUCUUAUCAUUGCUCAUAUCCUUUCCCAUCCUUCGUCAAUCCUUGCAUUUUGUAGUAUAACUUGCGCAGUUUUAGCCACAGACCUCAAUCACUUUGCCCUCAUAAUCAUCUUCACAAUGCUUCAUAGACGUAUGAAGAAUUUAAGAACAUUCUUAGAGACAAACUCAAUCCCCAUUAAUAUAACGGGACAGGAUGCAAUAGCUAUCAGUAUUACAAAUGUACGGAAAAGCUUGUUGUAUUAUAAUAACUUGCUGGAUAAUUUCCAAUCUCUUGAUGAGCUAUUGCAAAAUGUGGUAAGUAAAGUAUUAUCUUAUAUAUAUUUUUUUAUUUUUGUAGGAAAGAAAUACAUAACAUGGUGGUUGUUUCAGAUAACCGUCAACUGGAUUACAAACUUUUGUAGAACUUGUGUGGUUGUUAAUUUUUUUCUUCAGUACAUUAUUGCACAGUUGGAGCCAUCGCCGCAAAUUAUCUAUGUAUUUUUGGACCUAUAUCCCUCACUAGUGCUGAUAUCAAGUCCAGCGAUUAUUGUGGAAACGAUCAUGUACGAAGUGAAUCGAAUUAAGGAGACGCUCACUACACAAAUACUUAAGUGUUCAGACGAGUGUCUCCGGUUCGAGCUGCAGACGGCGCUGCAGUACGUGCGCCUGCGUCCGUUCCGAUACACGCUCUCGCGCGGUGCCGCUCGACAUCAACCUGCUGUU